rnacentral:rRNA from 1 species
AGUGAACGCUGGCGGCGUGCUUAACACAUGCAAGUCGAACGAGAACGGAUUAUAGCUUGCUUCCGAUAGGCGUCGACCGGCGCACGGGUGAGUAACGCGUAUCCAACCUGCCCACCACUUGGGGAUAACCUUGCGAAAGUAAGACUAAUACCCAAUGACGUCCAUAGAAGACAUCUGAAAUGGAUUAAAGAUUUAUCGGUGAUGGAUGGGGAUGCGUCUGAUUAGCUUGUUGGCGGGGUAACGGCCCACCAAGGCGACGAUCAGUAGGGGUUCUGAGAGGAAGGUCCCCCACAUUGGAACUGAGACACGGUUCAAACUCCUACGGGAGGCAGCAGUGAGGAAUAUUGGUCGAUGGGCGAGAGCCUGAACCAGCCAAGUAGCGUGCAGGAUGACGGCCCUAUGGGUUGUAAACUGCUUUUAUAAGGGAAUAAAGUGAGCCUCGCGAGGCUUUUUGCAUGUACCUUAUGAAUAAGGACCGGCUAAUUCCGUGCCAGCCGCCGCGGUAA